GAUCACAGGGUUCGAUGUUGAGGACCUGGCAGUAGAUGUGGGCUUUGGUAUAAGGCUAGCACCAAGCGUAAGAACAUAUUGGAUGAAUUCUGUACGUUUUGUGAUACAAGCUACAUGGAGACACUGCUGCAUGUGAGCACAAGAUGGCUUAGUUUGGAGAUGGUGGUCAAUCGGAUUCUACGUCUCUAUAAUGCACUCGUUAUUUUGAAAGCAUCCAUGAGAAGCAAGCCAGGUGUGCCCGGCUGCGUGAAUCUUUCCAGGACCCAAUGACGGAGAUCCAUCUCUUAUUCUACCAGUCUACACUGAUGACAUUCACACAUUUCAACCUGCUAUUCCAGCGGCAAGACCCUUGUGUCUAUCUACUUCAUGAACAAAUCAGGCCUUUUGUCAAGAAACUCCUGUCCAAAUUCCUGAAGCCAGGAGCUUUUAGAGGGGUCAAUGUGGACACAGUGGACCUCGGAGAGCCAAUUGCCAGAUUCUCAGCUUGGUGUUGGCUUCACAACGAGGACAACGUUUUGUGGAAGCAGGUGAUGUCUCCAUGGACUCGGCUAAAAACUUCCAUCUCGCAGCCAGGAGCUUUUUUGUGAAAGCAGUCAAGUAGGCCACAGCUAAGCUCCCUUUACAUGACCCUGUGCUGGAGCAUUCAAGGUUUGUGGACUUCAAACAGAAAAUGGAUAGCACCUUGGAUGACGUGCUCUACUUUGUUCAUAGAUUCAACCAUCUCCUGCCCUACAACCAACCAAGGGAGCAGGACCUUCUGAGUGAAGAGUUCCUAGAGUAUCAAAUGACGGAGGAGAAGGAUAUACCUGCAUCCAUCUGGGGGGAAGCGGUCAUCCGGACAAAUGCGGAUGGGAGUACCACAGGAUGGACCAUCUAUGGGAAAUAGAUCUUGGAAAUCUGAAGAAUCGGGCAAGUGGCACUUAAAUUCCCCAAAUUAUCCAAGGUGGCCCAGAUUGUGUUUAGCAUGCCACACUCAAAUGCGGAUGCUGAGCGAACAUUUUCAUUGAUUGGCCUAAACAAGACUGACACCAGAAACAGACUGUCACUUGAAGGCACCCUGUCAUCAUCAUGACAAUGAAAAUGAGCAGCCUUGAACCGUGCUUCACUUAUGAACCUCCUGCAGAUGUUGUGAAGCAGGCCAAAACUGCCACUGUGGCAUACAACAGGCCUAAUUUGUGAAUGCGAUUUUUCUGUGCGAAUUUGUGAGUAGUGGUUUAUUGUACAACAGGCCUAAUUUCUCUGUUCUGUGUUCUGCCUGUGCUGACACACACACACACACACACA